GACGAACGCUGGCGGCGUGCUUAACACAUGCAAGUCGAACGGAAAGGCCCCUUUGGGGGUACUCGAGUGGCGAACGGGUGAGUAACACGUGAGUAACCUGCCCUUGACUUCGGGAUAACUUCAGGAAACUGGGGCUAAUACCGGAUAGGAAUCCUUGCUGCAUGGUGGGGGUUGGAAAGCUUCGGCGGUUUUGGAUGGACUCGCGGCUUAUCAGCUUGUUGGUGGGGUAGUGGCUUACCAAGGCUUUGACGGGUAGCCGGCCUGAGAGGGCGACCGGCCACAUUGGGACUGAGAUACGGCCCAGACUCCUAAGGGAGGCAGCAGUGGGGAAUAUUGCACAAUGGGCGGAAGCCUGAUGCAGCAACGCCGCGUGCGGGAUGACGGCCUUCGGGUUGUAAACCGCUUUCAGCAGGGGCGAAGCUUGUGGUGACGGUACCUGCAGAAGAAGCACCGGCUAACUACGUG
rnacentral:rRNA from 1 species